CACGAUUGCUUCUGUUUGGGUACGAGCGCAUCUCUGCGGGAGGCUGUCCUCCUCACCGUGCAGCUCAUGUGUUUGAUCAGAUGGAACACCUGUGCACUUGCAGUUUGCCUAUUAUGAACGAGGCUGUGAGUAACUGAGUAUUCUGUGGGUCUGGCGAUCUACCAUUGGCUGCAAAUAAUUUGUUCUUACGUCUGAGAACCGGAUCUGUGACAAAAAGACGUGGAAUCCUCCCCAGCCCCGCAACUGCUCAGCUGAGUCCAGGCUGCUUGAAGCUCGUAGGAGCGUUCAGUUCAGAAUAAAAUGGUACUCAUAAAGAAAUUAUUCAGAGACUCUUUUAAUAAAGUUUUUCG